GGAGGCCUAAGUGUGACCCAGGGCUGCAAGGGCCGAUCCUGGGUCCACCGUGUGGACAACUGCUGGGGAAACUGAGGCCCACAAGUACCGAGUCGGCAGCUGGGUGCCCGCUGGGGCUCUGCGGUACCCCUUUUGCCCUGGGGUGUUCCCAAGGCACCUCUCUAUCCUCAGCCACAGCUGAGGCUUGCCCUGAGUUUUGUGGAUCUCCCUGGAGAGUGAUGUCCUCUCUUUUAUAGAUCUGCUGUGGUAUCAGUUCAUGCCCUGCCUUCCUGCAGAGUCAUCCAUCCAAUGAGUACCUACCUACCAAGCACUUUGAUGCUCAGCGUGCCUCGCUCUAAAGAAUGUUCGUGAAAGAACUGCCCAAGUAAAUGGGACUUUGGCAAAUCAUAAAAGAAGUCAGAUUGCCAUAGCCUGAAGAAGCAAGGGACUGACUGCUCCAGUCUUGGAGGUAUGGAAGUGGUGGUUGGAGAACUGAAGAGUGCCUGAAUUUAAUCUCUGGAACCCACAUGAUGGAAGGAGAAAACCAACUCCUGAAAAUUGUCCUUUGACCUCCAUAUGCAAGCUGUGGAAGCAUUGACCCUCUAGCCUGGGUACAAACAACUGAGAAUUCACCAAGGCUUGCUGUGGCGAAGAAUCUGGCGCAAGCUGUCUGAAGCAGAAGUAUCUGGAGCAGUGCCUUUUGGAGCUGGAGCUGUACUUUGGCAGCAAGCAGCUGUGGUCGCAGUGUAGCUUUCUCAAGACAUCCGUGAAGUGUUCAAAGCAGCCUGCUGGCGUGAGGGCUGUCCAGCUGGCUGCCAAAUAGGGGCUGCUUGGCUAGCAAGCCUGGGCCCAAGGCAGCCUGGGCAGAAGGGAAGCUUCUAACAACUGUCAAUUAGAGAGUCAAAUUGCCCUGGCCACAAGCAUCUUAGUGAAAGAGAGAGAGAGAAAGGGAGGGAGAGGAAGAGGGAGGGAGAGAGAGAGGCAUUCAAAAGAGAGCUAACAAUGAAGGCCUAUCAUUACCAUUAACAGUGCCUAUUUAACUGUAUGCAGCAGUCCUAGCAAGGCCCAACUCCUGCUCUGAUGCCCCAGGGAGAGAUGGGUCCCUCUGAUCUGCAAGAGUCAGGAAGGACCACCCUUUGUUGUCCGUAAAGGGACUUUUUAUAGAUUUAUUUUCUUGUCCUUAUUUUCAAAAUACUGAUCAGAACCAACUUGGGAAGAAUGGUUUAUUUUGGCUCAUGGUUCCAUAGGGCCACAGAUCGUCCAUUAUGUCAGGGACAGCCAAGCAUAACACAUGGGUUCUUGGUGGUAGUAGCUUGUAGUGGUAAUAGCUUUUUAUAUCUUGACCAAUUAAGAAGCAGAAAACUCAGUGCAAAACUAGAAACUAACAAAACCUUCAAAGGUCUACCUCUAGAGACCUGCUUCCUUCAAUAAGACUCCAUCUUUUAAAUAGUGCCAGCAGCUGGAAACAGUGAAGCAUAAGCUAGGCCCUAUGCCCAGCCCCUAGUACUGCAGAAAACAAAUAAUGAUAAUAAUGAUGAUGAUAACAGGAAUAAUGGGGAUCACCACCACCACCAUCAUCAUGACCACCAUCAUCACCAUCACCAUGACCACCAUCAUCACCAUCACCAUGGCCAUCAUCAUCACCACCAUCAUCACCAUCACCAUGACCACCAUCAUCACCAUCACCAUGGCCAUCAUCAUUGCCAUCAUCAACACCAUCACCAUGACCAUUACCAUGAUUAUCAUCAUCACCAUCACCAUGACCAUCAUCAUCGCCAUCAUUAACACCAUUAUCAAGACCUCUGUGAUUCAUAGUUUCAACUACAUUUCUAUGGAUACCUACUGAGUAUUUUCCUCCUGAUAAAUUUGAUUUGGUUUCUCUCUGAUUUAAGAGAGGGUAUACACUUUCAAAGCUUUUACUAUGUUUUGACAAAUCCCACUUUAAAAAGCUGAUGCCAGUGUUUCCAUAGCUAUGGACUGUGGCUUUCCCUUUAAAGCUGGUGAAUAGUUACAACAGUCACUGGUCUCAUGUUCUUGACCAUCCAGGGCCAUUCAGCCUAUCUUCUCUUUUGUGGCCCAGAGGCUCUAACACUGAAACAUGAGGCUAGCUUGCUUUUAUCUAUCCCCAGUACUUUCAACUCUUCUCUGUUUUCUGCUCAUUUGUUUGAUUGUUUUUACUUGGUUGUCUGCUCCUUACAGCACAGGUCUGAGGUUAAAUUUGAGGACCCUCUGCCAGCAACAUCCUGUAAAGCAUUGUUUACUUUCUAAUAAGAUGUUAUUUUUCAGGGGCUGGAGAAAUGGCUCAGAGGUUAAGAGCACUGGCUGCUCUUUCAGAGGACCUAGGCUCAAUUCCCAGCACCCACAAGGCAGCUCAGAACUGUCAGUAACUCCAGUUCCAGUGGAUCCAACACCCUCACACAGACAUACGUGCAGGCAAAACACCAAUGCGCAUGAAAUAAAAUUUUUUUCUAAAUAAAGAUGCCAUUUUCAGUAUCAAAUUGGUCGGACAUUUGGUUCAACCUUUGCAAAUGCAAGCUUAAGUGUCUUUCUGUUGCAUUACACAAGUCUCUCUCCACCAGAACCCCACAAGGGUGUUCUUAGAAGAUCGAGCUGGUGGCUGCUACUGCUUCCUCAUUCAUCCUGGUGAUCAGAGGGAGUGAAGCUGCCUUACUGUUUUGCUUGCCUCGGGCCGUACCAGGGGAACUUCAGACUGAGUGCCUUAUUUUAAGCACAGCACUGAUGAACUGAAGUACUCAGAGGAGGGGAAACGGAGCUGGCUUACAAUCGGGCAGAGGACCUAAUGAGAGGAGCUUUGAAGAGCUGUCCGUUCUCCAUCACUCCUCAAGACAAGCAUAGGGCCAGCGCAUGCUCUGUGAAGCCAGAUCUUGUCUCUUCCUUUCUUCUUCCCUCCCUUCCUCCCUUUCUCCUUUCCUUCCUGGUCAUGGUGUGGAAAUCAAAGUCAAGGACUUCUGCAUACUAAGUAGAUGAUCUGCCACCCCCCACCAUCCCCACUUCCUGAGUAGCCUAUAUCUUUAUAAUUUAUUUAUUGUUUUGAGGCUGUUUGGUUUUUUUUGUUUGGUUGGUUUGGUUUGGUUUUUAGAGACAAGGCUUCCUCUGUAGACCAGACUAGCCUCGAACUCACAGAGGUACACCUGCCUCUGCCUCCUGAAUGCUGGUGUAUGCCACCUUGUCUGGCUUUUGUUCUAUUUUGUGGCAAAGUCCCAUGUAGCCCUGGCGGGCCUUGAACUCAUUGUUAUUAGAAAUGAGUCUGAAACCAGAGAAAAGAACUAUACUAUCCAAACUAUUUCAGCAAGACAGUGUGUUCCUUCUUGAGGAGCCUGCAGGGCUAUACUUCAACAAGCAAGCACACCCUGACAGCAAGCAACCAGGGGAGGGUCCCACUGGGUUUUAUUCCUAUAACGAAGAGCUCCUGAGCCUCACUGACGGGUCAGAGCCCUGCCCCAUCCUCUUCAUGGUUGGCCAAAGACAGGACAUUCCAUUCUACAUUCCCCAUGCUUUGUAACCAGGGUUGGCCUUGAACUAGAGGGUAUGCCCUGCUUCAGUCUCUGUAAGCAGUGGGAUCGCAGGAGAGCACCAACCCACAUACCCACCAAUAUAAAGAGACUUAAACAACUAUAAACAAUUAGAACUGUCCAAAAAUACAAAAUGACACCUACAUUGAAUUUACCCCUACUCCCCACUACACAUACCCCUCACCCUCAAUCCCCACUUCCCCACCCCCCUACUGCCCCAUUACUGGGAAGAUUCAAAUAGUGUUAACCUGCAGUUCUGAAAUAAAUGCAUCCUAGAAGUAGAUCUAGGGGCUGGAGAGAGGUGGCUGCUCUUCCAGAAGACCUGAGUUUAGUUCCCAGCACCCACAUGGCAGCUCACAACUGUCUGUAACUCCAGUUCCAGGAGAUCUGACUCCCUAUUUGGCCUUCAUGUCAUGAACAUACAUACAUAUAGGCAGACAUACAAUUUUAAAAAAUUAAUUUAAUAAACACUAAAGAUGCUUCA